rnacentral:rRNA from 2 species
UUAAGUUAUUAAGGGCGCACGGUGGAUGCCUUGGCACUAGAAGCCGAUGAAGGACGUUACUAACGACGAUAUGCUUUGGGGAGCUGUAAGUAAGCUUUGAUCCAGAGAUUUCCGAAUGGGGAAACCCAGCAUGAGUUAUGUCAUGUUAUCGAUAUGUGAAUACAUAGCAUAUCAGAAGGCACACCCGGAGAACUGAAACAUCUUAGUACCCGGAGGAAGAGAAAGAAAAUUCGAUUCCCUUAGUAGCGGCGAGCGAAAUGGGAAGAGCCCAAACCAACAAGCUUGCUUGUUGGGGUUGUAGGACACUCUAUACGGAGUUAUAAAGGACGACAUUAGACGAAUCAUCUGGAAAGAUGAAUCAAAGAAGGUAAUAAUCCUGUAGUCGAAAAUGUUGUCUCUCUUGAGUGGAUCCUGAGUACGACGGAGCACGUGAAAUUCCGUCGGAAUCUGGGAGGACCAUCUCCUAAGGCUAAAUACUCUCUAGUGACCGAUAGUGAACCAGUACCGUGAGGGAAAGGUGAAAAGCACCCCGGAAGGGGAGUGAAAUAGAACCUGAAACCGUGUGCUUACAAGUAGUCAGAGCCCGUUAAUGGGUGAUGGCGUGCCUUUUGUAGAAUGAACCGGCGAGUUACGAUUUGAUGCAAGGUUAAGCAGUAAAUGUGGAGCCGUAGCGAAAGCGAGUCUGAAUAGGGCGUUUAGUAUUUGGUCGUAGACCCGAAACCAGGUGAUCUACCCUUGGUCAGGUUGAAGUUCAGGUAACACUGAAUGGAGGACCGAACCGACUUACGUUGAAAAGUGAGCGGAUGAACUGAGGGUAGCGGAGAAAUUCCAAUCGAACCUGGAGAUAGCUGGUUCUCUCCGAAAUAGCUUUAGGGCUAGCCUCAAGUGAUGAUUAUUGGAGGUAGAGCACUGUUUGGACGAGGGGCCCCUCUCGGGUUACCGAAUUCAGACAAACUCCGAAUGCCAAUUAAUUUAACUUGGGAGUCAGAACAUGGGUGAUAAGGUCCGUGUUCGAAAGGGAAACAGCCCAGACCACCAGCUAAGGUCCCAAAAUAUAUGUUAAGUGGAAAAGGAUGUGGCGUUGCCCAGACAACUAGGAUGUUGGCUUAGAAGCAGCCAUCAUUUAAAGAGUGCGUAAUAGCUCACUAGUCGAGUGACACUGCGCCGAAAAUGUACCGGGGCUAAACAUAUUACCGAAGCUGUGGAUUGUCCUUUGGACAAUGGUAGGAGAGCGUUCUAAGGGCGUUGAAGCAUGAUCGUAAGGACAUGUGGAGCGCUUAGAAGUGAGAAUGCCGGUGUGAGUAGCGAAAGACGGGUGAGAAUCCCGUCCACCGAUUGACUAAGGUUUCCAGAGGAAGGCUCGUCCGCUCUGGGUUAGUCGGGUCCUAAGCUGAGGCCGACAGGCGUAGGCGAUGGAUAACAGGUUGAUAUUCCUGUACCACCUAUAAUCGUUUUAAUCGAUGGGGGGACGCAGUAGGAUAGGCGAAGCGUGCGAUUGGAUUGCACGUCUAAGCAGUAAGGCUGAGUAUUAGGCAAAUCCGGUACUCGUUAAGGCUGAGCUGUGAUGGGGAGAAGACAUUGUGUCUUCGAGUCGUUGAUUUCACACUGCCGAGAAAAGCCUCUAGAUAGAAAAUAGGUGCCCGUACCGCAAACCGACACAGGUAGUCAAGAUGAGAAUUCUAAGGUGAGCGAGCGAACUCUCGUUAAGGAACUCGGCAAAAUGACCCCGUAACUUCGGGAGAAGGGGUGCUCUUUAGGGUUAACGCCCAGAAGAGCCGCAGUGAAUAGGCCCAAGCGACUGUUUAUCAAAAACACAGGUCUCUGCUAAACCGUAAGGUGAUGUAUAGGGGCUGACGCCUGCCCGGUGCUGGAAGGUUAAGAGGAGUGGUUAGCUUCUGCGAAGCUACGAAUCGAAGCCCCAGUAAACGGCGGCCGUAACUAUAACGGUCCUAAGGUAGCGAAAUUCCUUGUCGGGUAAGUUCCGACCCGCACGAAAGGCGUAACGAUUUGGGCACUGUCUCAACGAGAGACUCGGUGAAAUCAUAGUACCUGUGAAGAUGCAGGUUACCCGCGACAGGACGGAAAGACCCCGUGGAGCUUUACUGUAGCCUGAUAUUGAAAUUCGGCACAGCUUGUACAGGAUAGGUAGGAGCCUUUGAAACGUGAGCGCUAGCUUACGUGGAGGCGCUGGUGGGAUACUACCCUAGCUGUGUUGGCUUUCUAACCCGCACCACUUAUCGUGGUGGGAGACAGUGUCAGGCGGGCAGUUUGACUGGGGCGGUCGCCUCCUAAAAGGUAACGGAGGCGCUCAAAGGUUCCCUCAGAAUGGUUGGAAAUCAUUCAUAGAGUGUAAAGGCAUAAGGGAGCUUGACUGCGAGACCUACAAGUCGAGCAGGGUCGAAAGACGGACUUAGUGAUCCGGUGGUUCCGCAUGGAAGGGCCAUCGCUCAACGGAUAAAAGCUACCCCGGGGAUAACAGGCUUAUCUCCCCCAAGAGUUCACAUCGACGGGGAGGUUUGGCACCUCGAUGUCGGCUCAUCGCAUCCUGGGGCUGUAGUCGGUCCCAAGGGUUGGGCUGUUCGCCCAUUAAAGCGGUACGCGAGCUGGGUUCAGAACGUCGUGAGACAGUUCGGUCCCUAUCCGUCGUGGGCGUAGGAAAUUUGAGAGGAGCUGUCCUUAGUACGAGAGGACCGGGAUGGACAUACCUCUGGUGUACCAGUUGUCGUGCCAACGGCAUAGCUGGGUAGCUAUGUGUGGACGGGAUAAGUGCUGAAAGCAUCUAAGCAUGAAGCCCCCCUCAAGAUGAGAUUUCCCAACUUCGGUUAUAAGAUCCCUCAAAGAUGAUGAGGUUAAUAGGUUCGAGGUGGAAGCAUGGUGACAUGUGGAGCUGACGAAUACUAAUCGAUCGAAGACUUAAUCAA